UUUUCAUUUUCACUCAUUUAUUUUCAGACUCGUUUUUCGCUCUAUCUUUCCUUCUGAGAAAUCUCAAACCCGUAGAUCUAUUUUAUUUCCGAGAAAUCAUAGGAAUCAAAACCUUCACUUGUAACCAAAUUAAAACAUAUACUCGUAAUCAAAACCCAAAGUUGAAAAUCUAGAAAACCAAAUCAAAACCCAAAAAUAUCCAUCUAAAACCUAGAAAAUCAAUUUGUUCGUGAAAUCGAAAAUCAAUUCAUCCAUAGUUGAUUUCUUUGUUGAUUUUCAAGAGGUUUUGUAGAGUAAAAUUGCGGCUCUAAGGACUUGAAAGGUAUAUUGACAUAUUGUGCACUAAACUUGUUCAUCGCAGAGAAAGGUCAAUGGAACAAAUGCAAAGCACAUCUAAAGGUACGACAUCACAGCAAAAUAUAGGAGUUCCCAUCAAUUAUGGUGGUAACAAGCAGGUCAAAGUUACAGAACGAAGGAUGUUUCUUAGGCUUUGGGUGCUGCUAUGGAACACAUUGGAGAAGAAAACAAAUGUGAUAUCACUCUUUUGUUAUCGAAGAUAAUAAAGGAUAUGUUUGUACGAUAUGUUCGCUGAUUGGAAAAAGCAUUGAAUGAGAACCAAGACUAGCAGAACUAGCUAAUGCAUUGGAUCAAUAUUUUGGUGUGUCUGAGAUAUCAGUGCAUCCGAGGCACAUGAAGCCUCACCAAAUUCAAGGUUUCAACUUCUUGCUUAGAAACACAGUCGAUGAAGGUGAUGCCCAGUCAUUAUGUGAGGCAUUUGCAGGUCAUGUUUCUGUCUUAUCGACCAUUUUGUAUUUUCAAAUUCAGAAACUUGGGUUCUUGACAAAAGUUAGUACAAUCUUUGAG